GUGCCACCGCCGCGGUAAUACGAAGGGGGCUAGCGUUGUUCGGAAUCACUGGGCGUAAAGGGCGCGUAGGCGGCCAUAUAAGUCGGGGGUGAAAGCCUGUGGCUCAACCACAGAAUAGCCUUCGAUACUGUAUGGCUCGAGACCGGAAGAGGUAAGUGGAACUGCGAGUGUAGAGGUGAAAUUCGUAGAUAUUCGCAAGAACACCAGUGGCGAAGGCGGCUUACUGGUCCGGUUCUGACGCUGAGGCGCGAAAGCGUGGGGAGCAAACAGG
rnacentral:rRNA from 1 species